GGACAAUGGGGGAGAUGGAAACAACCGCUCCUGCGGCACCCACGACACAUACCACGCCCAAUCUCCCCCAACCCCCUCGCCCCCACUUCCACAUCUCAGCCGAGAAAAAUCGCCGCCCCAAGCCCCCAACACUCCUGCCGUGAUUGGGGUCUCCGGUGUAGGAGGAGCCGCGGCCCGUGGCGACUCUUCUCCCCUGCACCCCGAGCUCCGAUGGCCUAACUCUGGGAGCCGAAGUAGUCAAGGCGUGGUGGUCUCAAGCACAGAGACGCCGAUCCUGAUAGCGCCCUGGCCACGACGCCGACGGCACGCCUUCAUGGCGGUCAUGCACAUGAGCGAUAGGAGAGGGUGGCACUAACUAUGGUUGCGGCACCGAUGAGUUCGCAGGACGAGCCCUGCGCGGCAUCGGCAAGACCGGUAUAGGUUGCCGCACCAGCGAGCUCUGUGGUACAUGCGACCAUGCCGGCGCAGUUCCUCAAGAUUGGAUGUCUGCACUCGCUGGUGAUAACAGCCAUCUUGGACGCCUUCUUCGAGGACCUCGGCUUGCUUAAGGCGAUGAUUGAUCGUCCAACUUACUCUGGUUGUGGCAUAGCAUGCACACUAGGUGUUUGUUCAUUUGUUUGUGCUGCCUUUGAUAGGUUCCCUGCCUAUCGAUUUUUUUUCUCUGCCAAGAAGUGCAUAUUGUUGAUUGUUCCUUCCUAAGUCUCUCGUACUAGCAUUUGUUUCUCUGUCAAGUUGUUAGCUUUGAGAUGCACUGUGCAGAUACAUAUACUUCUCUUUUUUUAUUGAAAGGAUACAUAUACCCCUACUUGUCUUUGUAACUGUAGCCCCGUCUAUCAGGUGAUUCUUUGACUUGUUGAGUUAA